UGCGUAGGUGGUUUUUAAGUCCGUUGUGAAAUCCCUGGGCUCAACCUGGGAAUGGCAGUGGAUACUGGAAGGCUAGAGUGCGGUAGAGGGUAGUGGAAUUCCCGGUGUAGCAGUGAAAUGCGUAGAGAUCGGGAGGAACACCAGUGGCGAAGGCGGCUACCUGGACCAGCACUGACACUGAAGCACGAAAGCGUGGGGAGCAAACA
rnacentral:rRNA from 1 species